UACCAGCACCCCGAGUGGUCGGGACGAUUAUUGGGCCUAAAGCAUCCGUAGCCGGUUCUGCAAGUCCCCCGUUAAAUCCAGCUGCUCAACAGAUGGGCCGCGGAGGAUACUACAGAGCUAGGAGGCAGGAGAGGCAAGCGGUACUCAGUGGGUAGGGGUAAAAUCCGUUGAUCCAUUGAAGACCACCAGUGGCGAAGGCGGCUUGCCAGAAUGCGCUCGACGGUGAGGGGUGAAAGCUGGGGGAGCAAACCGG
rnacentral:rRNA from 1 species